rnacentral:rRNA from 1 species
GACGAACGCUGGCGGCGUGCUUAACACAUGCAAGUCGAACGGAAAGGCCCGGCUUUUGUUGUGUGCUCGAGUGACGAACGUGGGGGUAACAUGUGAGUAACCUGCCCGUUACUUUGGGAUAACUGGAAGAAACUUGGGCUAAUACCGGUUAUUACCGCCAGGUCCGUAGGGGGGGUUGGGAAGUUUCGGCGGUUGGGGAAGGACUCGGGGCUGAUCAGGCUGUUGGUGGGGUAGUGGCUGACGUAGGCGUUGACCGGUAGCCGGCCUGGGAGGGUGAACGGCGACACUGGGAAUGCGAUAACGCCCAGACGCCUACGGGAGUCAGGCGUGGGGAGUAUUGGACUAUGGGAGGAAGGCUGAGGCAGCAAUGCCGGGUGCGGGAUGAUGGCCUUCGGGUUGUAAACCGCUUGCGCCUGUGACGAAGCGUGAGUGACGGUAAUGGGUAAAGAAGCACCGGCUAACUACGUG